rnacentral:misc_RNA from 1 species
UCUCCGUAGGUGAACCUGCGGAGGGAUCAUUACUGAAUUAACAACGUCCGAAGCCCAUCGCUGACCUGCCUGGACGUGCCCUCGCCAGUGCCGUCACACACAUCCAUCUCACCCCUCUGUGCACCACCGCGUGGGUCCCCCUAAGGCUUGUUCGGAGGGGGGCUUAUGUUUUCACACAAACUUUGUAUGCAGUGUAGAAUUUAUUUCAUGUUUUUGCGUUCACGCAAUCAAUACAACUUACAACAACGGAUCGCUUGGCUCUCGUAUCGACGCAAAACC